AACGAACGCUGGCGGCAGGCUUAACACAUGCAAGUCGAACGCCCCGCAAGGGGAGUGGCCGACGGGUGGGUAACGCGUGGGAAUCUACCCAUCCCUACGGAAUAACGCAUGGAAACGUGUGCUAAUACCGUAUACGCCCUACGGGGGAAAGAUUUAUCGGGGAUGGAUGAGCCCGCGUUGGAUUAGCUAGUUGGUGGGGUAAAGGCCUACCAAGGCGACGAUCCAUAGCUGGUCUGAGAGGAUGAUCAGCCACAUUGGGACUGAGACACGGCCCAAACUCCUACAGGAGGCAGCAGUGGGGAAUAUUGGACAAUGGGCGCAAGCCUGAUCCAGCCAUGCCGCGUGAGUGAUGAAGGCCUUAGGGUUGUAAAGCUCUUUCACCGGAGAAGAUAAUGACGGUAUCCGGAGAAGAAGCCCCGGCUAACUUCGUG
rnacentral:rRNA from 1 species